rnacentral:Y_RNA from 1 species
GGCUGUCGGAAGUUAGUGAGUUACCACAAUUGAUUGUUCAUAGUUACAGAUUUAACUCUUUGUUCUACUCUUUCCCCCUUCUCACUACUAGUGACUAGUCUUUA